UACGGGAGGCAGCAGUGGGGAAUUUUGGACAAUGGGCGCAAGCUUGAUCCAACAAUGCCGCGUCCAGGAGGAAGGCCUUCGGGUUGUAAACUGAUUUUUUUCGGAGCGAAACGUUUUUUUUUAAUAAAGAGGGUUAAUGGCGGUACCGUAAGAAUAAGCACCGGCUAACUACGUCCCAGCAGCCGCGGUAAUACGUAGGGCGCAAGCGUUAAUCGGAAUUACUGGGUGUAAAGCGUGCGCAGGCGGUUAUAUAUGACAGAUGUGAAAUCCCCGGUCUCAACCUGGGACCUGCAUAUGUGACUGCAUCUCUAGAGUGCGGUAGAGGGGGAUAGAAUUCCGCGUGUAGCAGUGAAAUGUGUAGAUAUGGGGAGGCACCCCGAUGGAGAAGGCUAUCCCCUGGCCCUGUACUGACGCUCAUGCAAGAAAGCGUGGGGAGCAAACAGGAUUAGAUACCCUGGUAGUCCACGCCAUAAACGAUCUCAACUGGUUGUUGGGUAUCACUGCACUCAGUAACGAAGCUAACGCGU
rnacentral:rRNA from 1 species